AUUGAACGCUGGCGGCAGGCCUAACACAUGCAAGUCGAGCGGAAGCAGGGCGCUUGCUCCUGGAUUCAGCGGCGGAGGGGUGUGUAAUGCCUAGGAAUAUGCCUGGGAGUGGGGUAAAACGUCGGAAACUGGGCGCAAAUCCCGCAUACGCCGUGGGGGAGAACGGGGGGGAGAUCCGGACUGUUUGCUCUCGGGUGUGCCGAGGUCGGAUUAGCUAGUUGGUGGGGUAAAGGCCUACCAAGGCGACGAUCCGUAGCUGGUCUGAGAGGAUGAGCAGUCACACUGGAACUGAGACACGGUCCAGACUCCUACGGGAGGCAGCAGUGGGGAAUAUUGGACAAUGGGCGAAAGCCUGAUCCAGCCAUGCCGCGUGUGUGAAGAAGGUCUUCGGAUUGUAAAGCACUUUUAGUUGGGAGGAAGCGCAGUAAGUUAAUACCUUGCUGUUUUGACGGUACCAGCAGAAUAAGCACCGGCUAACUUCGUG
rnacentral:rRNA from 1 species